rnacentral:rRNA from 1 species
GACGAACGCUGGCGGCGUGCCUAACACAUGCAAGUCGAACGGAAAGGCCCUGCUUUUUUGUGGUGCUCGAGUUGCGAACGGGUGAGUUACACGUGAGUAACCUGCCCUUGACUUUGUGAUAUCUUCAGGAAACUGGGGCUAAUCCCGGAUAGGAGCUCCUGCUGCAUGGUGGGGGUUGGAAAGUUUCGGCGGUUGGGGGUGGACUCGCGGCUUCUCAGCUUGUUGGUGGGGUAGUGGCUUACCAAGGCUUUGACGGGUAGCCGGCCUGGGAGGGGGAGCGGCCACCUUAGGACUGAGAUACGGCCCAGACUCGAACGGGAGGCAGCGGUGGGGAGUAUUGCACAGUGGGAGGAAGUCUGAUGCGGCAACGCCGCGUGCGGGAUGCCGGCCAUCGGGUUGUGAACCGCAUUCGCCUGAGACGAAGCGUGAGUGACGGUAAUGGGUGAAGAAGCACCGGCUAACUACGUG